rnacentral:rRNA from 1 species
CUAUACAUGACUCUGCGCAUAUCAAUAAGCGGAGGAAAAGAAACUAACAAGGAUUCCCCUAGUAACGGCGAGUGAAGCGGGAAGAGCUCAAAUUUGAAAUCUUAAAGGGUUUCCCUUUACGAAUUGUAGUUUAAAGAAGUGUUUUCUGUUGGAGUUUCGGUAAAAGUUCUUUGGAAUAGGACUAUCAUAGAGGGUGAGAAUCCCGUAUUUGACCGUUACUUUCCAGCUGUGUGAUACACUUUCAAAGAGUCGGAUUGUUUGGGAAUGCAGUCCAAGAUGGGUGGUAAAUUUCAUCUAAAGCUAAAUAUUGGCGAGAGACCGAUAGCGAACAAGUACCGUGAGGGAAAGAUGAAAAGAACUUUGAAAAGAGAGUUAAACAGUACGUGAAAUUGUCAAAAGGGAAGCGUUUGACACCAGUGUUGUCUUCUCGAAAAUCAAUUAAAAAAUGCCUGGGAUUUUGUGUUGUAUUGACCUUAUAAGCUUUCUGCACUCUUUUUCUUAGUCUUUUUUAAUGCACUUUUCGUUUAACAAGUCAACAUCAAUUUCUUUUGUUGUAAAAGGGUCAUUGGAAGGUGGCUUUUCUUUCGGAGAAAAGUGUUUAUAGCCUUUGAUCUCUGCAAUCCGGAGAGACUGAGGUCUGCAGCGUAGACUCUUCGGGGUUAGAUACAUUUGUGCUAAGCUAUAGCUUUUUAUAGACAACUUGUUGACUAUAUUUAGUCUUGUGGCUUACUCGCUUAUGCUAUUUUACCUACGCUUAGGAUGUUGA